GAUGAAGAACGUAGCGAAAUGCGAUAAGUAAUGCGAAUUGCAGAAUUCAGUGAGUCAUCGAAUCUUUGAACGCACAUUGCGCCCUGUGGUAUUCCGCAGGGCAUGCCUGUUCAAGCGUCAUUUCAACCCUCAAGCCCCGCUUGGUGUUGGGCCCCGCCCGCUGUGGCCGGCCCUAAAGACAGUGGCGGCGCCGCCUGGCCCUCAGCGUAGUACAUCUCUCGCUCCAGGGUCCGGUGGCCGCCUGCCAGAACCCCCCAACUCUGUGGUUGACCUCGGAUCAGGUAGGGAUACCCGCUGAACUUAAGCAUAUCAAUAAGCGGAGGA
rnacentral:misc_RNA from 1 species